UACGUAGGGGGCAAGCGUUGUCCGGAUUUACUGGGCGUAAAGGGCGCGUAGGCGGCGCAACAAGUCACUUGUGAAAUCUCCGGGCUUAACCCGGAGCGGCCAAGUGAUACUGUCGUGCUAGAGUGCGGAAGGGGCUACUGGAAUUCUCGGUGUAGCGGUGAAAUGCGUAGAUAUCGGGAAGAACAUCGGUGGCGAAAGCGCUCUACUGGACGGUAUCUGACACUGAGGGACGAAAGCUAGGGGAGCGAAUGGG
rnacentral:rRNA from 1 species